CGGGCAUAACUAGGUUUAUUAGGAAAAUGGUAUCGGAUUGGUACAUGGGUUCAAGUACUCGCGGAUUCCGAUCCCAGAAUUUUUUGUGGUAUCGGCCGCAUUUCCGAUACUGGUAUUGGAAUCGGAACAACUCUAUAAAUAUCCUUCUUUCCGGAAACAAUUACCGGAAGAUCUCCCGGUUAUUUUACUUUAUGAAAUAGGGGAUGGUGGGCAGGUCCAGCUUCUAUCGCAUCCAAGAUGCUUACUGUGUAGACAAGGUAGAGGAGUUUUGGACAGAGAAGAGAAAUAAAGUCAUCGCCCAAGCGCAGUCAAAGGGACCUGUUGUAGUUUUGGGCGAUGCAAGAAUGGACAGUCCUGGGUUUAGUGCACAAUACUGCACAUAUACAGCCAUGGACAACAGUACUAAGCAAAUAAUCAGGAUGGUGAACAUUGACAAGAGGGAGACCAUGAGAAAUUCAGUGGCAAUGGAGAAAGAGGGAUUUAUCUGAACAGUAGAAACCCUUCGAAAGGAACUGGAUGUUGUGGAGUUUUGCACAGACGCCCACAUGCAAAUACCAGCACUUUUCAGCACUGGAAUAUAGAAAGAUAGCGGAAUUCAACACACUUUGGAUAUGUGGCACGGCUCCAAGUCGCUGGCCAAAAAAAUUAAAUCAGCAGGACAACAAAGAGGGUGUAAAGAGCUCGUGAACUGGACAACCCUGAUUUCCUUAGGCUGAACCAAGACCUGCCACACUAAAGUUGAUUUGGGAGAGAAAGACAUUGAAAACUCAAUCAUCUUGACAUUCUUCAAUGAGUAAUUGUUCAAUUUUUAGGCAAAUACUGUACACUUUGAAUGCUGUGAAUAAAACUAUAUUUUAAAUAUAUUUUAAAUGAAUUGUUUUUGACUGUUUUAAUCAGCUUUCAUUUAUUUGGAAAAAAAUUAUUUUG